rnacentral:lncRNA from 1 species
UUUGCGGUAAGAAAUCCUUCACAAACAAUGUAAGUUUCAAUGUUCUAUCUUAUAUGAAAUAUCCAUCUCGUAAAUCCUACACAAACAAUGUAAGUUUCAAUAUUCUAUUUUAUAUGAAAUUUCCAAAUCCUAUUGUGAAAUGUCAUACAUAAUUAUCGAUUGUUUAUCGUAACAAAACGACGAUGCUUAUAAAUGAAUAGCUACCAAAAAACAUAAUGAAAAAGCAUAAACUAGUUAUUAGAGCUGCUCUCAACACACCCAUAAUACAAAUAU